UUUCCGUGCCUGCAGGAGGAAGAAAGGCUUUCCUCCUUCCCUGACGACAAUCAACCAAUGAGAAACAAACACACCUGGGUGAAUGAACAAACAACAUGGAAGGACACGUGAGACAUCAGAAGGCUACACUGUAUAUCUACCUUGCAAGUUUGUUAAGGGAGAUUGAGUUAGUACCUAAAAUAAUACUUUAAACCCUUUGAAAGGUAGUAUCUUCUGCCCUCGUGGCACAUACUGAUAGACAAGUAGGUACGUGUACAACACAUACUGCUUGCGAGAAGAUAAAUACUAUGUCAGUAUUCUCCUAUGUAUACCUUCCACAGUAAGUCACAAUUCCCUCACCAGACAGAUGUCCUGAGUGAACUACGAUGAAAAACCUUAUAAAUAGCAAGACAAAAGAGAAGAAGUAACAUUAAGAAUUUCCAAAGCCUCAUUCAUGAUAGAAAUUGACUCAAGGAGUUGUACAACAAACACAUAUCCAGAGUUUGUUAUAUUCCAAGCCCAAAACUUGGCAUCACACAUAAACAAGGUCCUUGUCCUCAGGGUUUGGGUUCUGGCAGAAGACACAUAGAAGUUGACAAGCAUUUACAGAGGAGUGUGGUAACUGCUAGAUUAAAGGAAAUCCAUGGAACUUUAAGAGGUCCCUAAGCAGUCUGGGGAGAGGUCGAACAUCUAAGGAGGUGACCAAGAAGAGAAAUGAGUAGAAAAAAUAAGGAAACCAUGCAGUCCUGAGGAAUCAAUGUCAACUGAACAUACAUGAAUAUUGAGAAGGAAAGAAGGAAAGAAAGGGGAGGUGUUCAGAGUAGAGAAAGAUGUGGUAAAAGAAGUCAGAAGAGUCAAUAAUUAAAGGCUAGAUUGGCGAUGUUAAGGAUUGUGGGGGACGCCAUCUUGUCAACAACGGGAAGCCUUCAGGAAUCGGGGCCCCUCCCCGCUGAACCCCUCACCUGUGACAAGAAUAAUCAGGCAGCAAGCACCUGGAAAUCAGGUA